rnacentral:tRNA from 1 species
GCCUUCGUGGUGUAACGGUAGCACACUUGCGGCGUAUUCGAGAGGUCCAGGUUCGAAUCCCGGCGAGGGCA